rnacentral:rRNA from 1 species
UACGAAGGGGGCUAGCGUUGUUCGGAAUUACUGGGCGUAAAGCGCGUGUAGGCGGGUCUUUAAGUCAGGGGGGAAAUGCCAAGGCUCAACCUUGGAACUGCCUUUGAUACUGGAGAUCUUGAGUCCGGGAGAGGUGAGUGGAACUGCGAGUGUAGAGGUGAAAUUCGUAGAUAUUCGCAAGAACACCAGUGGCGAAGGCGGCUCACUGGCCCGGUACUGACGCUGAGGUGCGAAAGCGUGGGGAGCAAACAGG